UACCAGCGGUCCAAGUGGCAGCCGCUUUUAUUGGGUCUAAAACAUCCGUAGCUUGCUUCGUAAGUCUCGUGUGAAAUCCGGCCUCUCAAGGGUCGGGCGUGCACGAGAUACUGCGUUGCUAGAGACCGGGAGACGUAAGGAGUACAGUUAGGGUAGCGGUAAAAUGCGUUGAUCCUUACUGGACUAACGAUAGCGAAGGCACCUUACGAGAACGGUUCUGACAGUGAGGGAUGAAGGCUGGGGGCGCAAAACGGAUUAGAUACCCCGGUAGU
rnacentral:rRNA from 1 species